rnacentral:rRNA from 1 species
UACGUAGGGUGCGAGCGUUAAUCGGAAUUACUGGGCGUAAAGCGUGCGUAGGCGGUUGGCCAAGUCAGCUGUGAAAGCCCCGGGCUUAACCUGGGAAUGGCGGUUGAAACUAGUCGACUCGAAUCUGGCAGAGGGGGGUGGAAUUCCACGUGUAGCAGUGAAAUGCGUAGAGAUGUGGAGGAACACCGAUGGCGAAGGCAGCCCCCUGGGCUGAGAUUGACGCUCAGGCACGAAAGCGUGGGGAGCAAACAGG